UCGCCUGUUUAUCAAAAACAUCGCCUCUUGCUAAUAAUGAAGUAUUAGAGGUCCCGCCUGCCCUGUGACAGCAAUGUUUAACGGCCGCGGUAUCUUAACCGCGCGAAGGUAGCGUAAUCACUUGUCUUUUAAAUGGAGACCUGUAUGAAUGGCAUAACGAGGGUCUAACUGUCUCCUCCCCCUAGUCAAUGAAAUUGAUCUGCCCGUGCAGAAGCGGGCAUAAUAACAUAAGACGAGAAGACCCUAUGGAGCUUUAGGCAAAUGAUCAAGCACACCAAGCCCUAUUACUAAACAGAAUCCGGGAAAACAAAAACCAAUGAUCACGAUGCCUUCGGUUGGGGCGACCAUGGAGAAAAAAAGAUCCUCCAAGUGGAACGGGAAAACCCUUCAACUAAGAAUAACAGCUCGAAGUACCAGAAAUUCUGACCAAACAUGACCCAGGAAAAACCUGAUCAACGAACCAAGUUACCCUAGGGAUAACAGCGCGAUCCUCUCCCAGAGUCCAUAUCGACGAGGGGGUUUACGACCUCGAUGUUGGAUCAGGACAUCCUAAUGGUGCAGCCGCUAUUAAGGGUUCGUUUGUUCAACGAUUAAUAGUCCUACGUGAUCUGAGUUCAGACCGG
rnacentral:rRNA from 1 species